AAAGGGUCCGUAGGCGGACUCGUAAGUCAGUGGUGAAAUCUCAUAGCUUAACUAUGAAACUGCCAUUGAUACUGCGGGUCUUGAGUAAGGUAGAGGUAGCUGGAAUAAGUAGUGUAGCGGUGAAAUGCAUAGAUAUUACUUAGAACACCAAUUGCGAAGGCAGGUUACCAUGUCUUAACUGACGCUGAUGGACGAAAGCGUGGGGAGCGAACAGGAUUAGAUACCCGGGU
rnacentral:rRNA from 1 species